AUAAAUACGCUGCCGACGGUCCAUGUCCAGCUUUCAUGUUCUGGGAGGGAGUCUGUUAGAAACUGUCGAGGAUACGGGAAGGCCGCAACGCGCACGUAUUAUAAAAUAACUUCUUAUUGGGCAAGUUGGUGAUUACAGCAAACGCACGUUGUACUGCUGCACUGUAGGACCAAGAAGAUGGCGUGUUUGCGUACGGUUGUAGCUGUCAGUGCAAUCGCUCUGCAUUUAUGCGUGAUUUAUUCGGCAGUGGUGGAAGGAAAAGCGACAAGUACGGCCAAGCUGGGAAAGGAGGGACAAUCCUGUGAUGGCAACGAACAUUGCCCACCCGAAAUGUGCUGUGUGCGACCCAGAGAGGACGAGGGAACAGUGUGCAAACACCGUGGUCAAGUAGGAGACAAUUGCUCUAAUGUUACACUUCAUGAAUUAAUCUCUUGCCGAGAAGAUGUUGAAGCUAACACAGUGAAACACAGUCCACCCUACGACAAAGCGUGUCCUUGCGUGUCUGAUCUGACUUGCACCUACUCCAAUGGCAAAAAGAGACAGAAAAGAGAUGGGAAGAAACCGAAGCAGGGAGG
rnacentral:lncRNA from 1 species